rnacentral:piRNA from 1 species
UGGAUUCAGGUUUCUGAUAAGAUCAGCCAUA